CCGGCGCACGGNUGAGUAACGCGUAUGCAACCUGUCCGUUACAGGGGGAUAGCCCAUGGAAACGUGGAUUAACACUCCAUAAUAUAAUAUAGAGGCAUCUUUGUAUUAUUAAAUAUUCAUAGGUAACGGUUGGGCAUGCGUCCUAUUAGAUAGUUGGGGGGGUAACGGCCCACCAAGUCGAUGAUAGGUAGGGGUUCUGAGAGGAAGGUCCCCCACACUGGUACUGAGACACGGACCAGACUCCUACGGGAGGCAGCAGUGAGGAAUAUUGGUCAAUGGGCGAGAGCCUGAACCAGCCAAGUCGCGUGAGGGAUGACUGCCCUAUGGGUUGUAAACCUCUUUUGUAUGGGGGGAAUAAGCUUUACGAGUAGAGUGAUGACAGUACCAUACGAAUAAGCAUCGGCUAACUCCGUGCCAGCAGCCGCGGUAAUACGGAGGAUGCGAGCGUUAUCCGGAUUUAUUGGGUUUAAAGGGUGCGUAGGCGGCAUUAUAAGUUAGUGGUAAAAUAUUGGGGCUUCACCUCACUACGCCAUUAAUACUGUAGAGCUAGAGAACAGACGAGGUAGGCGGAAUAAGUUAAGUAGCGGUGAAAUGCAUAGAUAUAACUUAGAACACCGAUAGCGAAGGCAGCUUACCAGACUGAGUCUGACGCUGAUGCACGAGAGCAUGGGUAGCGAACAGGAUUAGAUACCCUGGUAGU
rnacentral:rRNA from 1 species